CCUGCUCACCUGCCCUCUGUGGGAUUAUGAAAGAUAUUGUUGAGGUAAUUGUAUGUGAUGCAGGAACAGUUGUUAACUCAGUUUGAUCCUCAGAGGAAGUAACUUCAAAGUACGUCAUUCCCAAGAUAGAUUUCAUGUGAAGGACCAAACCAAUUAGAAGUGUUUAUCUAAGCGCUUGAAAGAGUACAACUGGUGCUUACCCACAGAAAUGAAGGAAAGCUGGUUUUAACUGUUUUUGCUAAAUGCCCUAUGUAAUGUUAAGCACUGUUGAAUCUGGCAUUCCCAGGGCCAGAGAAGCCACAGGAAUGCUGUGUCAUUGCUUUUAACAUGGCAAGACAUGGAAGUAAACCUGGUCCUCAGAGAUAAGCCGUGUGAGUCCAUCCCUCCUGAUUCUGAAUGUCUCUCUUUCUGCUUCCUCUGCUGCUACACAGCUGAUUGAGUCAAACCAGAGGUGGAAAGCCUUAAAGCUACCAGCAGAUCCAGCUGGAGCUAUUUUUCAGCAGAAUUUUUGAAAAUGGGAGCUGGUUCAUGUAGAAGAUAUGCUGCAGCAGGCAACAACAAUGAAUAACCGACUGAUCUAUGGAUGGGCGGAUGGUUCAGCAAAUGACAGAGGAAGCAAGCUUGAAAGAUUGCAAAGGAGGCUGCUUUUACUUGGAACCACCACUUAUCUGCUUCACUCCAAAAGUGAAACUAAUGUACUAUGUGACACACACCACUUGCUGAGUUUAAUAAUUGGCUAGCAGCUGCACUGACACCAGCAGCAGUAGAUUGUCAUGAGAAUGGUGGGUGAGAGACCGCUCCCGAAAUCCUUAAUGUCUGCAUUUCUUGUUUUUUUUAUGAGCUAGCCUUGCAAAAAUAUUCUGGCGUGGAUUGUGAUUAUUUUUUUAUUCUCGAUAAAAUCUUACAAGUAUUUUAAAAUAGUAAAUAGUUUUAGAUAUUUUAAAUAUAAGGAGAUAAUUGAAAUAGUUACAUUCUUUUCUGUGAAUGUGUCCUUUGAUAGAUCUAUGCCUUUUUUUCCCCUCUAUUGUUUUUUAAUUUAUAUUCCCCACCCUGCUUCUUUGAAAAGUGGGAUGCUAAAAAGCAGACUCUAGUUCCUAGAACUCCUACUUUUAAGCCAAAUCUUGGCUUUGUGUUGGAAGUAGUUUGGCAGCAGCAGCAGCAGACACCUCAUGUCCGAGGCUACCACAGAGGCAGGUCCUUGAGAGGAGACCCCGCAGCGCUGCCCAGCAAACACGACUCAAGCUCUGCUGUCUGAGUACAGGGUCCUGGAAGAAUGCAGGCUCUGAGCAUCCCAAGGGAAAGGGUGUUUCCGCAGAGGCAGGCGGAACGGGUAAGGUGGGAGACCUCUAGGCAGCCUGUAGGUUGCAGUGAGCGCCUGGCCUCUUUUCCUGGUGAGUACCUGCACAAGGAUGUGCUGCCGCACAUGACAUUGAAGUAUCCUGGUGGAAGGCUGUGCAGCGCUAGAGGAGCUGAGAUGGAGAUGAAGAGGUGGUUUCAGAACCAUGUUCCUACGGCAGACACUGCAGAGAAUGAGCUGCUUGGACCCUGGUAACUCCCACAACCAGGGCUCUGCUUCAGGCCCCACCCUCCAACAUCACAACCAAAACCAGAUAUGAAGCUCUAAGCUGUAGCGACGUCUGUAAGGAGAAACCGUACCCACAGCACACAGUGGAUACUGCAACAAGAAAUGAUGAGUGCUUGUAGGAGGUGACUGUGAAGGGGCACUGAGAUUUAUGCCGCCUUCUGGGAGCUGAGGUCCGAGCUGCUGCCAAGAGGAUGCCAAAACCUGUCACGAGUGCAGACCACUAUCCAUUGCUACUCUUUCAUAUGGGCAUGAAUGCACCACAAUCCAGAACUUGGGCAGAACUGAGGGAGAAUACAAAAGACUGAGGGUGCAAGGAAGAAGCAUUGGUGCCCAAGUUUCUUUCUGUCUGCUUCACCAGCUGGAGGAAAAGGAUGCAGCCAGAAACAGACCUGUAAUGCAAUUCAACUUCUGGCUUUGUGGCUGGUGCCAUUGCGAGGGUUUCGACUUUUAUGACAAUGGGACAUUCUUUGAUGACUAUAGCCUUUUAGGGAGGGAUGGAAUCCACCUUGUCUAGAAAAGGCUGUGGAUCUUUGAUGGUAGGCUGGCCUGCUUGGUGGGAUAGGCUUUAAACCAAAGCACUUGGGGGGCAAGGUCCAAAGUGGCAAUGCUCACGCCGUUGCAACCAAGUGGGGAAUAAGCCAGGCCAACUAAAGCAGUGACAGAUGCUCCUUAGCUUCUUCCCAAGAUGAAAACCAGAAGACGAACAUCCUGAAAGCAGCAUGGGCCCCAGGCCUUGGGAACAAGAACCGAGGUUGCUGCAAACACAGGCCCAGCGUCAAGCGAAGGAUGAAUUCACAAGCGAAGGAUGAAUUCAUGUGUGGAGCGCUGUGUAUAACCCACUUCAAUCAUCCUUGGCUCACGGGGCGUCUGCCAGAGCCAGAGCAAAUACACAUGUGGACCUGGAGAAUCUAAAUUCUAAGAGAAUAGGAGAAGCAAACCCGUGGCAGGGCCUAACACUGCAUUUGAAGGGAGUUUCCAGGAAAGAAGACUGAGGCAGUCCAGAAAUGAAAGUCAAAAGGACCAGAUGAGGAAGGUAAGGACGAAACUCUCCUGGGGACACUCACCUACACUGUGCAGAAAGAGCCAACCCAGACCUUCCCUCUGCAGGUGCAUGGGAAGAUUGUGUAAAUAAAUGCCAUUGGCGAGAUGCAUGUGAAGACCUUCCAUCAACAGGAAUUAAAGUGGAAAGCAGAGAAACAAACCAGAGGGAUUUGGCUAUUACUCUGGUGCAGAGAGAUGUUGUUUCAGAGACCAUCUUAAAGCAGCCAGCUUCUGCCCUCCACAGGAUCGCGGCUUCCUCCGGCUUUCAAGCUUUCUCUCCACCAUGAGGAUGUUUCCUAAGCAAGCAAAAGGAACCAAUGCUCCCUAAGCCUUUCUCUGCCUAAGUUUCUUGAUGAAAUCCUUUGGCGUGAGGACUAACUCCCACCUUGCUCUAGGAAGAAGUCAUCAGAGCCUGGCAGCUUUUGGGCAUUGAUUCCCAAAGCACAGGCUCAUUCCAUUGAGGGGAAACCUCAUCUCUGGGGACUGGGUCUAGAGAGGGUCUACAUAGGGUGCAGCUGUGUCUGGGACCCAUGACAGAUGUCUGAGGUGUGUAAAGAGGACUGAGAAGCCUGACUGCCAGGGAAUGGGGCAAUCCUAGCUCAGCUUCCCAUCCACAUGUGCGUUCCCUGCCACAGCCCUGAGCCCUGCCACCCCGGACAGUAGCGUCCAAGCCACAUCUUACUUGUGCUAGGGCACACAUAUGUGAGGACCCGCGCAAUGUGCAGUGGGGUGCAGGUGGCCAUUGCGGCAGUGUGCAUGUCUGCAAACAGGUUAUCAGUGUUUUAUGGCACCAGGAAGCAGCCAGGUGAGGGGACACACCCCCUACGUUGCCCUGUGGACCGAGAUAUUUCUGUAUAGGGGGGCUGUUGGCUCCAGAUCUGCCUAUCAGUUGGGAUCUGCAGCCCAGUUGAGGUGGGAUUUCUCCAACACACCAUGCAGGGAGAUGGAAAAAGUUUUUCUCCCAGGCCAGGAAGCCUGGCAUUGGUUCUUUCCACAGCAUGGAAGGGAAAUGGAGAGUAGUGCUGAGGUCCCAGGCACCACAUAACUAUCAUUUGGUGAUGUGAAGUAUAGCUGGCACCCACCAGAUGAUAACUUAGACUAUUCCUGUCUGGGCAGCUCUGCCAACACGUUUCCACGAGGCCACUUUUGCUCUACCAGGUGCUCGCUUUGUGUUUCAAGGUGAGCACAGGCUACAGUCUUUCUUGCCAGUCCACUGCUCCUGCAAAAAAAUGUUGCUUGGACUUCACAGACCCUCCUAGUGUCCAGGUGCUCCACUCUGAGCACACAGCAAAGCAAAGCCAAAGAGCAGCACACAUUUCCCCAGACGACUCACGUUCAGAACCAUUUCUUUGCAGCUACUGGGCUGAUGCUUUAGCACAAUGCCCAUGGGGACAGUCUGGGCUCUGGGUCACUGGGGAAUGGGAUUGAAGCAGGACCUGUCCUGUUUCUGUACUUGUAUAUAUAUUUCUGUACUUGUACUUGUACAUGACUGUACUUGUAUACGUGGGCCAGGGUUGUGUGUGUUUGAGACCUGCUUGUACCUCUGCAGUAAUAGAUGAGAUAAUUAUGGAUAGUAAGAAUCACUCUAAUUUCUAAUUUCUCUAUUUGUUAGCUUGUUAAGAUUGUUGGGUGUGACUUUUCUUAUUUAGCACCAGUCGUAUCCCAUCAGCUGAUAAAUCUGAUUAUACGUUAUUUCACAAAUUAUCACCUGUACCUAUUGGAAUGAAUCUUACAUUGGUAAAAUGAUUAAUGAAACAGUUAAAGAAACAUCAGGACUUGAUUAUAAUUCUGGAUGAGGUCCAGGAAAGCGGGACAAGACCCUGAUGACAGUCCACCACGACUGGAAAGAAAGGGGGUCCUGAAAGAGUAAAAGAAAAUUUAAACUAUCAUUGGAGGGACAUGUUGUUCAGAUGGUCCCCUGCUGCGACUGGCAUUCUAAAUAAGUUGUGUCACCCCAUUAUUGCCCUUCUGAUGCUAGUUUUAAUUAGCUUUGUUUUCUCUGCUAUGUUAUUUAUUUGGAUUUGGAGAAUGCUACAAUGACUAAUAAUUUUGACUUCUAUGUCUAGUGCCCAUGAGAAUGCAUUAAAAAGGUAAUUUUCCAACAAAAUAUCAUAUAUCCCCUUUGAGAGAUAAAUUACAGAGCUGGCAAAAUAAUUUGCCCAUGUUAAAAAAGACAGGGGGGAAUUGAUGUGCGAAAGCAGACAAGGGGGGCUGGGAGUGUUCGUUAGAGCUUGGCGUUGUUUGCCUUGAAGACCUUGGAAGUUGAUAAUGAAGGAGCCAGCUAGCAGCAGUUUACUGAUAAGUAGGCAUUGGAAUGUUGAAAGCUGCUGCAUUUGGUUCAGGAGUUUGAAAACAGCCAAAGUAGACUGAGUCUGCACAAAGUUCAAAAAGAAAUAUAUUCAUCCCAAGACUUCCUACUUCAUCCCUACGACCCCGGCCAACGACCAUCAGGAGGCACUAAGCAGGCGCAAGACUGGAGCGAACUUUCCAGAUUUAAUUAUAAUACAAAGCGGGGAUAGGGUAUGAAUAUGUAGUAGGUGCUUAUACCUAUGCAUGUCUUUACACUAUAAGUAGCUGCUUGUUAAUCUAUACGGUGUGCAAGCUAGGAGGAGAACUCCCUUGCACCCCA